rnacentral:rRNA from 1 species
GAGGAAAAGAAACCAACAGGGAUUGCCUCAAUAUCGGCGACUGAAGCGGCAACAGCUCAAAUUUGAAAUCUGACUUCGGUCCGAGUUGUAAUUUGCAGAGGGUAUUUGGAAACCGACAUGGGCCUAAGUCCCUUGGAACAGGGUGUCACAUAGGGUGAGAACCCCGUACGUGGCCACAUGUCAGUUUCAUGUCAAAUCCCUUCGACGAGUCAAGUUGUUUGGGAAUGCAGCUCAAAAUGGGUGGUAAAUUUCAUCUAAAGCUANAUACCGGCCAAAGACCGAUAGCGCACAAGUAGAGUGAUCGAAAGAUGAAAAGCACUUUGGAAAGAGAGUUAAACAGUACGUGAAAUUGUUGAAAGGGAAGCGCUUGCCAUUAGACCGAUUCAUGAGCUGCAGUCGGAGGCAACUCUUGACGUAAAGCACUCGUUUUUCGGCCAGCAUCAGUUUUGAUGGUUCGACAAAGACGUGGAGAACGUGGCUCUUCGGAAUGUUAUAGCUUCGCGUGUAAUGGAAUCUAUUGGGACUGAAGACCGCNCUUCCGCUAUGAUGCUGGCGUUAU